rnacentral:rRNA from 1 species
CGAAACCGUGAGGUGGAGCGAAUCACAAAACUCGGUCUCAGUUCAGAUUGCAGGCUGCAACUCGCCUGCAUGAAGUUGGAAUUGCUAGUAAUCGCGAAUCAGAAUGUCGCGGUGAAUACGUUCCCGGGCCUUGUACACACCGCCCGUCACACCAUGGGAGUUGGGAGUGCCCAAAGCCGGUGAGGCAACCGAAAGGAGCCAGCCGUCUAAGGCAAGACCAAUGACUGGGGUGAAGUCGUAACAAGGUAUC